rnacentral:pre_miRNA from 11 species
AGCCGCAUGCGAAGAUCGAUUAUCGCAUGCAGCUAGCUUAAGUGGACCGCAUGCGAAGAUCGGUUUUCGUAUGCGUUU